UACGUAGGGCGCAAGCGUUAUCCGGAAUUAUUGGGCGUAAAGAGCUCGUAGGCGGUUUGUCGCGUCUGCCGUGAAAGUCCGGGGCUCAACUCCGGAUCUGCGGUGGGUACGGGCAGACUAGAGUGAUGUAGGGGAGACUGGAAUUCCUGGUGUAGCGGUGAAAUGCGCAGAUAUCAGGAGGAACACCGAUGGCGAAGGCAGGUCUCUGGGCCACGACUGACGCUGAGAAGCGAAAGCAUGGGGAGCGAACAGG
rnacentral:rRNA from 1 species